UCUAUCUGCACAAAUUUUCCGUUUCACGAAUCUUUAUCCCUUCUUCUCCGUAUUGCUGCGCCAAUCAAACCCACUGAACGGAGGUGCGGCGGAGCUGGACGGAAGAGGCACAAAGUUCCACGAACGGAGACGGAUCCACCACCUCAAACAGAGAACCCCGACGGCAGGUCUGUCACCAGCGUCGAAGACCAGCGGGGGAUCUGGUACGUAGGGGCGGCGGUACCCACGAACAUAAGAGCAGAGACGCACGGUGGAGGACGAGUAUAUCUGUAGAGGCGGCGGUGACCGGUAAACAGUAGGUUUCGCGGCAGAAAAAUUUGUUUUUCUCUAGCCUCUGAUACCAUGUUCAAUUCUGUAUAUUGUUGAAGAUAAUUGUCUGUUUACAAAGGAUAUUACAAGAGUGUAUAUAUCACAUAAAGGAGACUACAGGAAAGAAGAGUAUAAAUUAGCCGAAAAAGAAAAAUUCUAAUUGGCUAAUUAAUAGCCAACAGUAUGGUAAUAGACUUGAUAAGAGCAUACCCAUGAGCCUAUUCUUUUCGAGGCUUAUGGAAUGGCGGGGAAUGGAUUGGUUAAACAUCUUAGGGGUGAACUUCCAUUUCUUGAUUCAUCGCCUUUUUCCAAGCUCUUGAACCAGUGUGCUCGCUUGAAGUCGGUUAGAGACACGAGUCGUGUUCAUGCUCGCAUAAUUAAAUCGCCCUUUGCCUCCGAAACUUUUAUCCAAAAUAGGCUCAUUGAUGUAUAUGGGAAAUGUGGAUGUGUGGAUGUUGCUCGCAAGUUGUUUGAUAGAUUGCUUGAGAGAAAUAUUUUCUCUUGGAACUCCAUCAUUUGUGCAUUCACUAAGUCUGGAUUUCUUGAUGAUGCUGUCCACAUCUUUGAGAAGAUGCCUCAAGUUGACCAAUGCUCGUGGAAUUCUAUGAUUUCGGGUUUUGAACAACAUGAUUGCUUUGGUGAAGCUUUAAUUUAUUUUACUCAAAUGCAUGGUCAGGGUUUUGUCAUGAAUGAAUAUUCAUUUGGUAGUGCUCUCAGUGCUUGUGCAGGUUUACAAGAUUUGAAACUAGGUUCCCAAAUCCAUAGUUUAAUAUAUAGGUCAAAUUAUUUAUCAGAUGUGUAUAUGGGCUCUGCUCUAGUAGAUAUGUACUCUAAAUGUGGAAGAGUUGACUAUGCUCAAAGUGUUUUUGAUGAAAUGACUGUGAGAAGUAGAGUUUCUUGGAAUAGCUUGAUUACGUGUUAUGAACAGAAUGGUCCAGUUGAUGAGGCUCUUAAGAUUUUUGUUGAGAUGAUCGAAUGUGGGGUUGAACCUGAUGAGGUAACUCUUGCAAGUGUUGUUAGUGCAUGUGCAACUAUCUCGGCAAUCAAAGAAGGUCAACAGAUUCAUGCUCGAGUUGUGAAAUGUGAUGAAUUUAGAAAUGAUCUUAUUUUAGGCAACGCAUUGCUUGAUAUGUAUGCUAAAUGUAAUAGGAUUAGCGAGGCUAGAAUAGUUUUCGAUCUAAUGCCAAUUAGGAGUGUGGUGUCUGAAACCUCAAUGGUAAGUGGGUAUGCAAAAGCAUCUAGAGUUAAAGUUGCAAGAUAUAUGUUCUCAAAUAUGAUGGUGAAAGAUGUAAUUACUUGGAAUGCGCUUAUUGCAGGGUGUACACAAAAUGGAGAGAAUGAAGAGGCACUUAUACUCUUCCGUCUUUUGAAAAGGGAGUCUGUUUGGCCUACACACUACACAUUUGGCAAUCUCCUCAAUGCUUGUGCAAACCUUGCUGAUUUACAGCUUGGCCGACAGGCUCACUCUCAUGUUUUAAAGCAUGGAUUUCGAUUCCGGUAUGGAGAAGAGUCAGAUGUUUUUGUUGGGAAUUCUCUAAUAGAUAUGUAUAUGAAAUGUGGAUCAGUUGAGAAUGGUUGUAGGGUGUUUGAACAUAUGUUGGAAAGGGAUUGCGUCUCAUGGAAUGCUAUGAUAGUUGGAUAUGCACAAAAUGGUUUUGGCAAUAAGGCCCUUGAAGUUUUCAGUAAAAUGUUAGAAUCAGGAGAGAAACCAGAUCAUGUAACAAUGAUUGGUGUUCUUUGCGCUUGUAGUCAUGCCGGACUGCUUGAUGAAGGUCGUUAUUACUUUCGAUCAAUGAGUGCACAACAUGGUUUGGUGCCAUUAAAAGACCAUUAUACAUGUAUGGUUGAUUUACUUGGCCGAGCUGGCUACCUUGAAGAAGCAAAAAAUCUAAUAGAGGAAAUGUCAAUGCAGCCUGAUGCUAUCGUCUGGGGAUCCUUGCUUGCCGCUUGUAAAGUCCAUCGGGACAUCAAAUUGGGGGAGUAUGUAGUAGAGAAACUUUUAGAGGUAGAUCCUGAGAAUUCUGGGCCAUAUGUUCUUCUCUCUAAUAUGUAUGCUGAACGUAGAGAUUGGAAGAAUGUUGUGAGGAUAAGAAAGCUGAUGAGACUGAGGGGAGUGAUUAAACAACCGGGUUGCAGUUGGAUUGAAAUUCAGGGUCAGUUGAAUGUUUUCAUGGUUAAAGAUAAAAGGCAUGCAAGGAAGAAAGAAAUCUACAUGCUUUUGAGAACACUCUUACAACAGAUGAAACAAGCAGGAUAUGUCCCGUAUGUUGGCAGUAAUGAGAUUGAUGAAGAACAAUAGAAAGAACAUGACAUAACCUCAUCUUAUCAAAUGGAAAUGCUAAACCCAGAAGAUUGAAGGUGCAGAGAAGUGUGCCCAUUUGGCAUGUAUGUUCAAGAAUUUGGGUCUGAGUGUCAGUUUCCUAAUCAGCAUUAUGUUUCUCUCUCAUACCUUGACUCAACGAAGUAUUUUAGACCUGAGAUUAAGACGUACACUGGAGAGGCUCUCCUUUUGUUUACCAUGAAAUUUUGGUGGUCAGUUUUAUUAUUUCAAAUAGUCUUAUCUAAACAAGUAUUAUUUCACAUACCUGUGAGUGAUUUUAGUCAUGUUCUUUGCUAUCGAGUUAUCUACAAGGAGCUAUUGUAUUUUAUCCCUAUUUUUUCCCCUUUCAGAUAGGAUACUUGAAUAUUGCAAGAAACAGGGCUUCACAAGCUGCUAUAUAUGGGCUUGUCCUCCAUUGAAGGGUGAAGUUUCUAAAUCUUUUAUUAUACUCACCCAGAAAUCCUGAAAAUGCCAAAAUCUGAUAAACAUUUAUGGAUGCUAUGACUAUUUUCUCACGACCUUACUUGAAGAGGGUAUUUAUCAAUGUUGAAAAAAGCUGUCAAGGCAGGCUAUUUUGAUGCACUUGAAUCUCAAUAGAGACAAAACUACUUUAAAGUGAGGGAAUGAAGUCUCUACCUCCUUUUGACACGAUGGUUGGCUUAGUGAUAAUCCUCUCUCCGAACUUUUUCUCCGGAUCUACUCAUUAGCCAUACAAAAAUUUUCUACUAUUCUUGAGUUAUGGAACGAAGAACAUGGAUGGACUAUUACUUACGGAAGGAACUUUACUGAAGAGGAGAUUGAAGAAUAACUUGCUCUUAUGGAAUAGCCUUGUUGAAACUAGGGGCGCCUUUUCUCUAGUCACUGUCUCUUGAUAUGUGAAUCGACCUGUCUGCCCCUUUACAUCCUUGCCAUGAAGCAAUUUGGUCCGAUUUUUAUCCAAAAAUUGAUAAAAUUCUUCCUUGCCACAAUGCCAGUAGUACUGUGCUUCCCUCACAUGGCUCUUUCCGUUCAUUGUUGUGUCAUCUAUCAUGUCGCCUUUGAGACAUCGAGACGCCUUUUCAUCGAGUGUCUUUGCAAAGCAUAUUGGCCUUCUUGGAUACACUCAUUGGCCAAUCCAUUCAUUGUGGAGAAGAGGAUUCUCUAGAUGAAUCCGGUCAGAGCUACCUUAUGUUGGAAGGAAAGGAACAAUAUUCUUUUCAAUGAAAAGGGAAGAUCUUUCUUCAACUUUUUUGAACAUAUCCUACCUAGAUUUGCCUAUGACUUUCUUUAGUUCUUUUAAUCAUACAUCUCUUUUACCCUUCCUUUAUAAAUUUCAUACUAGAAUGAAAUUUGUUUCUUAAAAGAAA